AUGAGGAGGAAACCUGAACAGAAAUUCCUGAAAGGGCUAAGAGAGACUCCCCAACACAGCCAAGCCUUUCCAAAAGCCAGGAGGAGGAGAGGACUCCGACUCCGGCCACAGGCCCAGGGCAACGUGCUGGGCCCCGGAGUGUCCUGCUCCCUGGGGCCCCAGGGCAGGUGCGGCCCAGCUCACCCCAGCUCACGGUCACAGGCUCACAUGCAGCUCUCACACAGCAGCAGCCAAGGCCCAGGCAGGAACCACAGGCAGGGCCUGGGGAACAUCUCUGCCCCCUCCCAGGCCCCAUCUGUACUCGCCUAGCUAAAAAGAGCCACUCUCGUCAUUAGCAGUGUAAAAAGGACACCUUCCCUCUCAGUUUGGAUCUGGCCUGGCACACACACUGCUGAGUCAUCUGUGACUGGGGGUAGGGACCAGGGAGGGUGGACACAGUUGAGUCAGAGGCAGGUCUGUGGGCAGCAAUGUCUGCCUCUCCCCCACAGGGAGUGAGGGCUGCCCUCCAGGGACAACCUGGGCAGGGAGAGAAGGGCCCAGACCUGCCAGGCCACCAGGAGCACUCUGUGCCUGGGGAGUAGCUAGGGAAAGGACAAAUGCAUCUGGCCUGUCUGUGCUGCAGAGCGGGGCAAGGCCACCAAAGCAUCAAAGGGAAAUGGCCCCAAAACUGGCUCUCUCUAGAGGAAAGCCGACCAGCAAGCUGGGGUUGAAGUGUGCUGUUCUCGCCUCCUGUGCAACAGCAACUGGAAAGCCCACUCUAUGGGCCCAGAUGAGCCGACAGCAUGAGAAGGCUGUGAGAUUUCUGAUGCACAGAUGUAGAAGCUCUGAGUGGCUCUGAGAAACUUGAACCACAACACAAAAGGGGCGUGUGUGACGGGGGUGUCUGCACUCCCUGGUGUGGUCUGCAGGAGACAGAAGCACCCUGGGUCUGCUGAUGCCAGGGUUCUCUCAGACCCUACUUCAGCAACUGGAGAGGCGUGGACAUUUAAACCUUUUAGGAGGCCCUCAGGCCUCUCUGCUCCACAUGGAAGUCAGCAGCCCUCUCUGCUCUGGCUGGCUUCUCCAAGGCACCUCCUGGCCCCACCUAGGGCUCAGGGCAGGACUCUCUCGUGCAGUGAGUCAGCGGGGUACUAACUGGGCUCACUUCUGACAGUACCGCUCCCAGCAUGCGCUCGGCUUCCAGCCCCAGAGACCAACACUGCUAAGUAGGACAAGGGAUCCGGAGCCCUCGAUGGCACCCUCCACUCGGCAGCCUGCUCCCCCACCACUCCAACCCCUCCCGCUCCUCACCACGCAAACCUGCCUGCCAACACAGCAGGGGCCACAGAAAGCCUGCCACCAGAGCCACCACAGGGAUAUGCAAUGGGCCCAGCCAGGCCUAAGGGCCCAUCACAGGGAGAUGCAAGAAAGGGAGCAGGUGACAGAAGCACGGCGGCUCCCUCCACAAAGCUGCGGCCCCCGCAGGGCUCCCUCCCUGGUGAAAAGUUCCAGGACCACCACGGGAGGGGCAUAAAGAGCCAAACACACCCGGUCCCCUCGGCCACAGCAGGACCAGCACACAGUUGGGGCAGGGCGGGCGCAUGGUUCGGACUGAUGCUAGGAGAAACUGGUGACACCAGGUCUGUCCACUAGUCUGGGUGGGACUGGGCUGACGUGCACGGAGCUGGGUCCCCACAGCAACGAGGGCACACGGAGGCCUCCACGGAGCACAGAGAGCAAGCAAAGCAACCCUGAAUUCCUUUGUGUUUGUUACUGGUUUUGUUCUUUGUGUGAUUGGGUGUUUUUUUUCUUCUUUUCUUUUAAAUAAAAAUGCUGCAAGGUUUCCGCC
rnacentral:antisense_RNA from 1 species